rnacentral:rRNA from 1 species
UACGUAGGGGGCGAGCGUUGUCCGGAGUUACUGGGCGUAAAGGGCGUGCAGGCGGUCUGUUAAGUGCAGGGUGAAAGCUCCCGGCUCAACUGGGAGAGGUCCUUGCAUACUGGCGGACUUGAGGGGGGUAGAGGAAAGUGGAAUUCCCGGUGUAGUGGUGAUAUGCGUAGAUAUCGGGAGGAACACCUGUGGCGAAGGCGGCUUUCUGGGCCCUACCUGACGCUGAGACGCGAAAGCGUGG